GUGAAUCAUCGAAUUUUUGAACGCAAAUUGCACUCUCCUCGGAGAGUAUGCGUGUUUGAGGGCCAGCCUAUAAAAUAUCGACAUCGUUGCUGUUUCGCGGUGCCGUUCGUCGGAAAUUGGGUUAUCUUAACUCUCUUGGGUUUAAGCGACAUAAAAUUUUCUUUUUGCUUCCAGGAACGCAUCUAAGAUUUAUUUCUUUACACGAUUAAGGUAUGGAUUCUUAUUAGACGUGACCAUCAU
rnacentral:misc_RNA from 1 species